rnacentral:miRNA from 1 species
AGUAUAUAAUGCAGAGUGUGUGUUUGUAUGAGUGUGUGUGUAUAUAAUGCAGAGUGUGUGCAUUAUAUACACACACACUCAUACAAACACACACUCUGCAUUAUAUAC